UAGGGAAUCUUCGGCAAUGGGGGCAACCCUGACCGAGCAACGCCGCGUGAGUGAAGAAGGUUUUCGGAUCGUAAAGCUCUGUUGUAAGUCAAGAACGAGUGUGAGAGUGGAAAGUUCACACUGUGACGGUAGCUUACCAGAAAGGGACGGCUAACUACGUGCCAGCAGCCGCGGUAAUACGUAGGUCCCGAGCGUUAUCCGGAUUUAUUGGGCGUAAAGCGAGCGCAGGCGGUUAGAUAAGUCUGAAGUUAAAGGCUGUGGCUUAACCAUAGUACGCUUUGGAAACUGUUUAACUUGAGUGCAGAAGGGGAGAGUGGAAUUCCAUGUGUAGCGGUGAAAUGCGUAGAUAUAUGGAGGAACACCGGUGGCGAAAGCGGCUCUCUGGUCUGUAACUGACGCUGAGGCUCGAAAGCGUGGGGAGCAAACAGGAUUAGGUACCCUGGUAGUCCACGCCGUAAACGAUGAGUGCUAGGUGUUGGGUCCUUUCCGGGACUCAGUGCCGCAGCUAACGCAUUAAGCACUCCGCCUGGGGAGUACGACCGCAAGGNUG
rnacentral:rRNA from 1 species